rnacentral:tRNA from 1 species
CACAGUGUAGCUUAACAUAAAGCAUCUGGCCUACACCCAGAAGACUUCAUACCUAUGAACACUUUGA